rnacentral:lncRNA from 1 species
UUUUAAAAUACUUUUUUUAAUUUUUAAAAUAAAUAUUUGGUAUUUAUUAAAAAAAUGAGCCGGAUAGGGCUGGGCCCGAGCUUAUGAUUUUUUCCCGGGCCGGGCUUGGGUAAAAUUUUAGGCCCAUAUUUCGGGCCGUGCUGAAAUUUUUUAUGGGCCCAGCCCGAACCCGGCCCGGCCCAUGAGCACCUCUAGCAGUUCUCCAGCUUGGAGUAUAAUUUGGUAAGCUUUUCAACCAAGAGUAGCAUUGCCUAACACAAAAACAACUUGUCCUGAUGAGCUAAGAGGGUGGUAAGCUUUUAUUUAUUAACGCAAGAGAAGGGGUUUUGCUUAAUUGCAUUAGCUAGACAGAAGAGGCGUGUGCUGCACUGCUUUCUGUACCAUUGAAAAUUCGAACCCAAGAAGAAGGUAUCAAUUUUGGCGACGGCGUAAUCAAUGUGCUUAGAAUUCAAUAAAUAUAAAUGUUUAUCCAACGCGGCUUUUGGGGUUGGAAGCAAUCCUGGCUGAGGCUGGAAGGAUGGAGGAAAGUGUAGUGCCAGCGCUAUCAAGUAUGCUUCUGAGAUGCGCUUUUCUGCGUAUCCGGCUUCACCUUAUGAUUUUAUAUUAUGGUGUUCGUCGGCUAAAAGAUGGUUGUGAUUGGUUGAAGAAGGCCCAUAUUGACCCAUGUUGAAGCUUCUGAUCUGAAUAAAGGCUUUAGAAUAGUAUUCAAAUUGAAUUUCCAUGGAGUGAAGGCAGCCCAAUAACAUGGUACGGGUGGGUGGCUACAUUCCUGAGUCUGCUCUAUUUUUUCACUCAUAUAUGGGAACAAUCCUUUAGCCCAUUUCCGAAGAUAUUAUCGAAUCAAACCAAUUGUUAGCUUAGGUUGACAUAUGAAUAUUGCUUGGUAUUGUUUCUAUGAGGUGGGGAUGGUCAUGGUAGACACACUGGAUAGGUUUUAGGACAGUUUGGACUUAAGAAAAUCAAAUACAAAAACAAAACAAAGCAAGUCUGAACAAUAUUGCAAGUGGGCAAUUGGCAAAGAAGGA